AACCUUAUGGACCUGCGGGCGUAUACCUGCGGAGGGAUCAUUAUUGAGUGUAAUCUACCCCGUAAAAAAGGGUGGUACCUCCCGUCCUUUGUAGGCCCCCUUUUUAAUUUGAAGGGGGCUUUAAGAAUUUUCUGCUUCGGCGGGGUUAUUCCCGCCGGAACACCCUCAAAAAACUCUCUAAAAAAUCGUUCAGUCCGAGAACUUUUUUGAAAAUAUAAAUAAAACUUUCAACAACGGAUC
rnacentral:misc_RNA from 1 species